rnacentral:rRNA from 1 species
UACGUAGGGGGGCAAGCGUUGUCCGGAAUCAUUGGGCGUAAAGCGCGUGUAGGCGGUUCGGUAAGUCCGCUGUGAAAGUCGGGGGCUCAACCCUCGGAUGCCGGUGGAUACUGUCGAGCUUGAGUACGGAAGAGGCGAGUGGAAUUCCUGGUGUAGCGGUGAAAUGCGCAGAUAUCAGGAGGAACACCAAUUGCGAAGGCAGCUCGCUGGGCUGUAACUGACGCUGAGGCACGAAAGUGUGGGGAUCAAACAGG